UCCUUCUUAGCUCAGUUGGUAGAGCGCGUCACUAGUAACACUCCCGGUGUGUGUAGAUACAUGACGAGGUCAGUCGUUCAAGUCGGCUAGAAGGAA